AUGGGACUACUUAGUGGCGGACGGGUGAGUAACGCGUGGGCAACCUGCCCUGUACCGGGGGAUAACACUUAGAAAUAGGUGCUAAUACCGCAUAAUAGGGAAUACCGCAUGGUAAUCCUUUGAAAACUCCGGUGGUACAGGAUGGGCCCGCGUCUGAUUAGCCAGUUGGCGGGGUAACGGCCCACCAAAGCGACGAUCAGCAGCCGGCCUGAGAGGGUGGACGGCCACACUGGGACUGAGACACGGCCCAGACUCCUACGGGAGGCAGCAG
rnacentral:rRNA from 1 species